rnacentral:rRNA from 1 species
UACGUAGGGUCCGAGCGUUGUCCGGAAUUACUGGGCGUAAAGAGCUCGUAGGUGGUUUGUCGCGUUGUUCGUGAAAACUCACAGCUCAACUGUGGGCGUGCGGGCGAUACGGGCAGACUUGAGUACUGCAGGGGAGACUGGAAUUCCUGGUGUAGCGGUGGAAUGCGCAGAUAUCAGGAGGAACACCGGUGGCGAAGGCGGGUCUCUGGGCAGGAACUGACGCUGAGGAGCGAAAGCGUGGGGAGCGAACAGG